GGACAGUGGCCUCAACCCAUUAGAGAAUAAGCAGGAGGAUGCCAGAGAAGAGCUGUCCCCUGAGAGUCAAGAUCUUUUAGGGACCUGAUGGCAGCUGCUGGACUGUCUUGCCCUGCUACUAUGGACACAUUCCUGUCCUGAAUAGACUGAGAUCAUGUCCCAGCUAGAAUCCCAGAAAUCAAUGAAACCAUCAUCUGUAUCAAAGACCUGAUUGAGGUGGCGAUUCCAAGUAAAUUCUUUCUGACAAAGAACCCUCCCAUCCAAAUCUCUGAUUUAUGUCUCAAUGACCCAGAAUACCAUGGCACCAAAACAGGAAGCUUCUACAUAUUCAGCAUUAAAACCAGUUUCACAGACUGUGGGACUAGAAUGGCUUCUGAUGGUGCACACUUUAUUUUCAGCAACACUAUACAAAGCAACUUCUCUGAUAUAAUUACAAGGUCCUUUAUCAAUAUCACAUUUGCCUGCCGAUAUCCCAUUACUUACAUGGUACCAACAGCCUAAUGGAGAUAAUAAAAUCAGUGUUGACAUCAGCUGCCCACACAUUGUCAAAGAUGAAACACUGUCAGUAAUAAUGAAUGGCGAAGGUGCAGAAGCAAUGUUUAGGAUUCAGAUGUUCAAGUUUGUGGGCAUCUCUUACAAAGACAUUUUCCUGCAUUGCACAGUUCAGAUUUGUCACAAUUCAGCAGCUGUUUGCAAGCCAAUCUGCACAACUCCCACGACACAGGACAUUCACAAAGCUCCAGCAGCAGCACCAUGUGUUUAUGAACAAGAGGGAAUAACUACAGCCCUGGUAACUUCCCUGCACUGUUAAUUGUACUAAUUAUGGUAAAAUAACCAGAAAUAAAAGAGAAACAACACUAUUUCUUACUCACACAGUCUCAUAUGGUCCCAUCAAGAGAAAGCUGGCAGAUGAUGGAGAAACUAAUAAAGAUAGAGGAGAAUUUACACCAGUUGAAACCUGGAUCCUUGGAGGAGUGCUAAUGGCAUUUUUAGUUUUAACUGGAGUCUUUGGAGCACUUUUGCUUAAGUCAAGAAGAGCAUACCCUCCUAUAGAACCUCAGCUGAUUAUAUCAUAUUUUCAUAACUCAGAAGCAGCAUCAUGAUUAGAUGAUCCCCGCAUCUUAAAGCAUUUGACCUGAGUUGCAGCAAGGGUCAU